CCUCUGCUCCCAAUCAGGUCGGGAGCCAUCCACCUCGGUUGUAGGCUGGUAAAGUUGCCGCGGCACUCCAGAGGAGAUACGAAAGAGGGAAAGUUGACUUGUAAGAACCAGUACAGUGGGACCUUGAACUCAAUGUUCUUCAAGUUGCAGGCAUCCGGCGUAAAAACUGUCCCAAACAACGCAAAUUUGACAUUCAAGCAAGUUUUGGAGCCGCUGCAGCUGGGUUCUGUCUGGCCAGAGGCGUAACAAGAGCGGCCAGGGGCAGACGGGCCCGUAGAGCGGUGGGACCAUCCUGA